CCGCCCCCUCCCCCGCCAUGCCGGCUCCGGCCGUGCGGGCGGUAUCGUUGGGGUUGCGGCCUUACGAGGAAGCGCUGCGGGUUCAACAGCGCUGCGUGGCGGCUGCGCGGGCGGCUCGGGGCCCUCCUCCGCGUCCGCCAUCCGAGGGUGCACUGUGGGAACCACAUCACCUCCCACGGGCUGGCACUGAACUGCUGCAUUGACCUCUCCUGGUUCGAGCACAUCGUGCCCUGUGGGCUGGAGGGGACGACGGCCACUUCACUGAGCCGUGAAUUGGGUCGCCAUGUCACCGUCGAGGACAUCCUCGAGCCCUUCCUUGAGUCCUUCCAGGAGGUCUUUGACUGCACUGUGGUGUUUUCUGAGGAGCCCAGGGACUGAGAAGGUGCAGGGUGAUGGAAAAAGUCACAUCCCGCUGGUGCUGGAGCACACAGAUGGUGUGGGAUGGUUGGGGGCUGUCCUCAAUGCCAUGUCCUCACCAUGCCACGUCUCGCUGCUGAGAUACUGUGAAGACAAAGCCCUUGUUAGGAGCAGGGGUGGACCUGCAGAGCUCAGGUCGUGUCCUCAGUGAGCAUUUUUGUGCUUUGAACUCCUCUCCUCAAAAAGUCUGACGUUGGAGUGAAUGCUUUGAGCAAAAAGGGAGAGGUGUUGCUUGGUGAAGUGUUCUUAUCUCCUUGCUGCUAUGCAAAAGUCAGUGUUGGUUUUAUAUAAAGACGGUU
rnacentral:lncRNA from 1 species